rnacentral:rRNA from 1 species
GUGAGGAAUUUUCCGCAAUGGGCGAAAGCCUGACGGAGCAAUGCCGCGUGAAGGAGGAAGGCCUAUGGGUUGUAAACUUCUUUUCUCAGAAAAGAAUUAUGACGGUAUCUGAGGAAUAAGCAUCGGCUAACUCUGUGCCAGCAGCCGCGGUAAGACAGAGGAUGCAAGCGUUAUCCGGAAUGAUUGGGCGUAAAGCGUCUGUAGGUUGUUUAAAAAGUAUUCUGUCAAAGAUUAGGGCUUAACCCUAGAUAGGCAGAAUAAACUUUUAAGCUAGAGUUUGGUAGAGGCAGAGGGAAUUCCCGGUGGAGCGGUGAAAUGCGUAGAUAUCGGGAGGAACACCAAAGGCGAAGGCACUCUGCUGGGCCAAUACUAACACUGAGAGACGAAAGCGAGGGGAGCAAAUGGGAUUAGAAACCCGGGUAGUCC